AGCAGCCGCGGUAAUUCCAGCUCCAAUAGCGUAUAUUAAAGUUGUUGCAGUUAAAAAGCUCGUAGUUGAAUUUCGGGAUCAAUUAAUUGGUCGUGCCUAUGGUACGUACUGAUUUUAUUGGUUUCUCCCUUCCGACGAACCAUGAUGUCAUUAAUUUGGUGUCGUGGAGAAUCAGGACUGUUACUUUGAAAAAUUAGAGUGUUUAAAGCAGGCUAACGCUUGAAUACAUUAGCAUGGAAUAAUGAAAUAGGACGUUUGAUCCUAUUUUGUUGGUUUCUAGGAUCGACGUAAUGAUUAAUAGGGAUAGUUGGGGGCAUUAGUAUUCAAUUGUCAGAGGUGAAAUUCUUGGAUUUAUUGAAGACUAACUACUGCGAAAGCAUUUGCCAAGGAUGUUUUCAUUAAUCAAGAACGAAAGUUAGGGGAUCGAAGACGAUCAGAUACCGUCGUAGUCUUAACCAUAAACUAUGACCGACUAGGGAUCGGAUGAUGUUAAUUUUUAAUGUACUCAUUC
rnacentral:rRNA from 1 species